GGCGAGUUGGCAGACGAAAUGCGAUCGACUUAGGAUCGGGAGAAGGGGCGUUAGCGCCCCACUCGCCU
rnacentral:tRNA from 1 species